CUGAAGCAAAUGGUGAAUGCAUCUGGCUGCUAACCUGAAGGUUGGAGGUUCAAGUCCACCCAG
rnacentral:tRNA from 1 species